AGGGCGUAUGGUGGAUGCCUAGGCAUUAGAAGACGAAGAAGGACGCGACAAACAGCGAAAUUGCCUCGGGGAGUUGUAAGUAAACAUUGAUCCGGGGGUAUCCGAAUGAGGAAACUUACCAAGAAAGGUAUCCUAAAAUGAAUACAUAGUUUUAGUGAAGGAAACCCUGUGAACUGAAACAUCUUAGUAACAGGAGGAAAAGAAAGAAAAAUCGAUUGCCUUAGUAGUGGCGAGCGAAACGGCAAUAGCCCAAACCAAUCUACGGAUUGGGGUAGUAGGACACUUCAUAACGAGAAUAAGAGCUAAAGAUAGCUAAAUGAUUUGGGAAAGUCAGUCAAAGAAGGUGAAAACCCUGUAGGCGAAAUCUGAAGCACUCAGAAGUGAAUCCUGAGUACGGCGGGACACGAGAAAUCCUGUCGGAAGCAACGGGGACCAUCCCGUAAGGCUAAAUACUCUCUAAUGACCGAUAGUGAACAAGUACCGUGAGGGAAAGGUGAAAAGAACCCCGGGAGGGGAGUGAAAUAGAGAAUCUGAAACCAUAUGCUUACAAAAAGUUCGAGCCCAUUAACGGGUGAGAGCGUGCCUUUUGCAGAAUGAGCCGGCGAGUUAUGGUAUUGUGCAAGGUUAAGUAGAAAAUACGGAGCCGAAGCGAAAGCGAGUCUUAAAAGGGCGAAAAAGUACAAUGCUGUAGACCCGAAACUGAGUGAUCUAGCCAUGAGCAGGUUGAAGUGUAGGUAACACUACAUGGAGGACCGAACCAGGGUACUAUGUAACGUGCUUGGAUGACUUGUGGUUAGCGGUGAAAUUCCAAUCGAACUCAGAGAUAGCUGGUUCUCCCCGAAAUAGGUUUAGGCCUAGCCUUGAAGAAUUUCCUCUGGAGGUAGAGCACUGAAUGUGGAAUGGCCGCGUCUAGCGGUACUGACUGCAAUCAACCUCCGAAUGCCAGGAAUUGUAGAUUCAGGAGUCAGUGUAUGAGGUGAUAACGUCCAUACGCGAGAGGAAAACAAUCCAGACCAUCAACUAAGGUCCCUAAAUAUAUGUUAAGUGGGAAAGGAUGUGGAGACGCACGAACAGCUAGGAGGUUGGCUUAGAAGCAGCCAUCCUUUAAAGAGUGCGUAAUAGCUCACUAGUCGAGUAUCUCUGCGCCGAAAAUGUACCGGGGCUAAACAUAUUACCGAAGUUAUGGAUUUAUAAUUUAUUAUAAAUGGUAGGGGAGCGUUCUAAGGGCGCUGAAGGUAGAUCGUGAGGACUACUGGAGCGCUUAGAAGUGAGAAUGCCGGUGUGAGUAACGUAAGGUAGGUGAGAAUCCUACCCACUGAUUGACCAAGGAUUCCAGGGUCAAGUUCGUCUACCCUGGGUAAGUCAGGACCUAAGGCGAGGCUGAGAAGCGUAGUCGAUGGACAACAGGUUUAUAUUCCUGUACUAUUUAUAGGACUGAAGGAGUGACAAAGGAAGCUAGUAAGAGCCAUUUAAUGGAUUAUGGUCUAAGCACAAAGACUGAUACAUAGGAAAAUCCGUGAUAUCGAACGGUUGAAGUGUGAUGGCGAAGCAGUCUACGGACAGCGAAGUCUUAUGAGGCUAAACUUUUUAAAAAAGCUUCUAAAGAUAUGCUAUAAAUACCUGUACUAAGAACCAACGCAGGUGGUCAAGGAGAGAAUCCUAAGGUGAGCGAGAGAACUAUGGUUAAGGAACUCGGCAAAAUUACCCCGUAACUUCGGAAUAAGGGGAGGUUUCUUCGGAAACCCGCAGUGAAUAGGUCCAGGCAACUGUUUACCAAAAACACAGGUCUCUGCUAAAGCGUAAGCUGAUGUAUAGGGGCUGACGCCUGCCCAGUGCUGGAAGGUUAAGAUGAUUUGUUAGGUGGACGAAAGUCGAUAACACCGAAGCUUUGAUUUGAAGCCCCAGUGAACGGCGGCGAUAACUAUAAUCGUCCAAAGGUAGCGAAAUUCCUUGUCAGGUAAGUUCUGACCCGCACGAAAGGCGUAAUGAUCUGGACGCUGUCUCAACCAUAGACUCGGUGAAAUCUUAAUACCUGUGAAAAUGCAGGUUACCAGCGACAGGACGGAAAGACCCCAUGGAGCUUUACUGUAGCUUGAUAUUGAAAUCAGGUAGUUAAUGUAGAGGAUAGGUGGUAGACAAUGAAGUUAAGACGCUAGUCUUAAUGGAGUCGACCUUGGAAUACCACCCUUUGACUAUUUGAUUUCUAACUUGCACCCGUAAUCCGGGUGAAGGACAGUGUCUGGUGGGCAGUUUGACUGGGGCGGUCGCCUCCUAAAGAAUAACGGAGGCGCUCAAAGGUUCCCUCAGAUUGGUCGGAAAUCAAUCAAAGAGUGU
rnacentral:rRNA from 1 species